AACCAGCUAGAAGCAAGUAGAUUCACAGGGGAAUCCUUUGUCCCGACCCCUGGCUACAAUCCUUGCCCUUUCUAAUACGUAUAGAAAUGAUUUGAAAGAAUUCUAACUAACCUCAGAUACAAGCCUGAGAUAAUGACCAAGAUUAAAUGGACUGAACAUCUCAUUCCUAUCAAUUCCAAUUCAUAAUCCUAUUUUAUUUAAGUCGUUAGCUUUGUCCUUUGGAAUUCCAAUUAGCCAAAAGAUGCCAGUGCUGUUAAUAAUACUGCCUGCCAAGGGAAAUUACUGCCUCCGCUUCUACAGCUACCAGAAUUCACUUUGUGGAAGCUAUGUCAUAACAUAAUUUUUCUUGUCAAACCCACCCUCAACUUUUAGGCAAAAAUUUGAGGAGAGGUGAGGAAUUUUAUUCAUUCAAAUUAAUCUAGGACAUUUUCAAAACCAGAUUUACUCAUUAAAAAUAGUAGUUAUAACAGCAGCUGUCACUUCCAAUUAAUACUAUGUUUGGGUCGUUUUUAUUUUCUAAGUUAAUUUUAAAAUAUUUUAAGCUAUUGAUACCAUUACAGUUCUCCCCAGUUAACUCCUACAUUGAUUUUGCAUGUUAUGUUUUUAUAAAAUUUCAAGUCAUGUAUAUAUGAAAAAUAAGAAUUAAUUAGACUUUUGUGCUGGAGUGAUAGCUCAGCAGUAAAGAGCUCUUGCUGAGUAAUUAUAAGUACUGGGAUUGAGAUCUCAGCAUUCCCAUAACAAAUGAGGCAGCCUGCAUUCUGCUAUGACCCCAGCUUUGAGGAAGGCAGGGGCAGCAGGAACUCUGGGAUUUACUGGCUUCUAGGGCUAGC
rnacentral:lncRNA from 1 species